UACGGAGGGUGCAAGCGUUGUUCGGAAUCACUGGGCGUAAAGGGCGUGUAGGCGGUCAGGCAAGUCGGAUGUGAAAGCCCUGGGCUCAACCCAGGAACUGCAUCCGAAACUGCUCGGCUAGAGUCCCGGAGAGGAAGGCGGAAUUCCCAGUGUAGGGGUGAAAUCCGUAGAUAUUGGGAAGAAUACCAGAGGCGAAGGCGGCCUUCUGGACGGUGACUGACGCUGAGACGCGAAAGCGUGGGUAGCAAACAGG
rnacentral:rRNA from 1 species